rnacentral:lncRNA from 1 species
UGCGUGCUCCCGGGGUUGCGGGCUCACACCGCUCUCCCCAUACCCGACAACCGCGAGAGGCAAGCGACGAUCGGCUUCACGCCCCCCGGCGGAGAAUCGGGGCUUGUCCUUUUCCCGCGGCUCGCGGUCCCCACCCUAACCCAUGGCACUUUGGGACGCCCUAAGAUUUUACAACUUCAAAAGUAUUUAAAACUUAGCCUGCAAAAUAAAAAACAUCUUCAUAAAAGUUAUGAAGACCCCGUUCUAAAGUAUACAAGCUAAAGAACUGAUUAUGUACCACGAAAGCUGUGAAGCUGAGAUCUUAAUUUUCUUGGCACCGGGUUGCAGCACUUGGGUUGAAGAGAGCAAACGGUUGCUGAGGGCCAUGGCCAUGCACAAGGAACAACAAAUGGUCUUAAAACUC